rnacentral:tRNA from 1 species
GCCGGUAUAGCUCAGCUGGUAGAGCAACUGACUUGUAAUCAGUAGGUCCGGGGUUCGACUCCUGGUGCCGGCACCA